AGUGAACGCUGGCGGCGUGCUUAACACAUGCAAGUCGAACGAGAACGGGUUAUAGCUUGCUAUAAUUGUCAGCUAAGUGGCGCACGGGUGAGUAAUGUAUAGGUAAUAUGCCUCUCACUAAGGGAUAACAAAUGGAAACGUUUGCUAAUACCUUAUACUCCUUAUUAACAGAAGUUAAUAAGGGAAAGAUUUAUUGGUAAGAUAUUAGCCUGUAUUGUAUCAGUUAGUUGGUGGGGUAAUGGCUUACCAAGACUAUGACACAUAACUGGUUUGAGAGGAUGAUCAGUCACACUGGAACUGAGACACGGUCCAGACUCCUACGGGAGGCAGCAGUGGGGAAUAUUGCACAAUGGACGAAAGUCUGAUGCAGCAACGCCGCGUGGAGGAUGACACAUUUCGGUGCGUAAACUCCUUUUAUAUGAGAAGAUAAUGACGGUAUUAUAUGAAUAAGCACCGGCUAACUCCGUGCCAGCAGCCGCAGUAAGAC
rnacentral:rRNA from 1 species